UACAGAGGGGGCGAGCGUUGUUCGGAAUUACUGGGCGUAAAGGGCGCGUAGGCGGCCCUCUAAGUCGAACGUGAAAUCCCCGGGCUCAACCCGGGAACUGCGUCCGAUACUGGAGGGCUCGAAUCCGGGAGAGGGAUGUGGAAUUCCAGGUGUAGCGGUGAAAUGCGCAGAUAUCGGGAAGAACACCCGUGGCGAAGGCGGUUCUCUGGGCCGAUACUGACGCUGAGGAGCGAAAGCGUGGGGAGCGAACAGG
rnacentral:rRNA from 1 species